GAAAUGGCUGAUCUCUCCAGGUUCAGUCGAUGGAAGAUCUCAGAGACACAUUUCAUAGACUGGGCCUGGGAACCAGGACUGCCGGACUGCGGGGCCAGUGUUUUCUUCUACCACCCUGUGCUUCCACCCCUCCUUCUGACUCAUUCUCCUUUUCCCCAUAUCUAAUCUCUUUCAUCCCUCAGUUUCUAAGACAGGUCUGUAAAUCCAGUCAGAGCU
rnacentral:lncRNA from 10 species